UGGCAUCCACUGAUAGACCUAAAGCAGGACCACCUUGGCUUUUGGGUUUGCACUCGGAUGCAACAUCCAAUUUCCUUGCGCUUUCUGACUGUCAAGUGGCAGAUUGGAUUGAAUUAAGGAAAACACGC